GAUGAAGAACGUAGCGAAAUGCGAUAAGUAAUGUGAAUUGCAGAAUUCAGUGAAUCAUCGAAUCUUUGAACGCACCUUGCACCCUUUGGCAUUCCGAAGGGUAUGCUCGUUUGAGUGUCAUUGUACUCUCACACUUCCGAUCUUUGGAUUGGGAGCGGUGGACUUGGGUGUUGCUGCUUACUGUGGCUCACCUCAAAUCGAUUCGUGCACCUCUUGGUUGGACAUAGUACGGCGUGAUAAGUGUCUUCGCCGGCACCUCAGUAGAGGGUGGCUGAUCGGGAGCUCUGCUUCAAACCGUCCUCGGACAACAACUGACAACUUGACCUCAAAUCGAGUAGGACUACCCGCUGAACUUAAGCAUAUCAAUAGCGGAGGA
rnacentral:misc_RNA from 1 species